GAGAAGGAACCAUGCAAGGGCCUGGGGGAAGCCUUCCAGCUAGAACAGCCAAUGCAAAGGUCCUGGGGUGCAGAAAAGCAAGGAGGCCAGUAUGAUCUGAGUGGAGUGGGCAGAGUGAGAGGAGGAGAGAUUGGAAACAUGGUGGGCAAGUGUACCUAGGGCCUUAUGGGCUGUGGCUGGGAAUACUGGCUUUUACCUGGAGUGAGGUGCAGCCAGAUGCUUCUGAGUCAAGGAGUACCCUUAUGUGAUACAUGUUAGGUUCCUGUGACUGCAGGGUAGGAAGAAAGGUCAGGUGGGGUGGGGAGAGCAGUGAGAACAGAGAAGACACUGCUGCCAUUGUUGAGGUGGGAGAAGAUGAAGGAUGGACCAGGAUAGGGGCCUGGAGUUGGGUGAUAAAAUUCUGGAAGUAUUUUGGUGAUGGAGAUACUGGGCCUACCCAGUAUGAGGGGCACAAGGCACGUUCAGGCUGGGGUGAUUUGGGGCAGAGCAGGUAACAAACCAGGAAUGAGGUUGAGCCAGGACCCUGGCUGGCUCCAAGAGGCUUUACUCCAAGAGAUACAUGUUCUCAGAAGAGAUCCAUUGACAGAUCUGUCUUCUAGACACUGCUAUCAUCACAUGGCCUUCACUGCACAGUC
rnacentral:lncRNA from 1 species